ensembl:lncRNA
GGUCGGUGUCCCAGAAGCUGGGAACUUGCGAGUUGCUCUUCCCUACCCCUCCCUACCUCCACUUAAUACCGGCGCGGAGCCCGGAGUAGGUGGGUGCAGCACUCCAGGCUUUCCUGUCCACCACCAACUCCCGGAGAUUGCUCAAACUUGUGUCCAUUGAGUCGGUGAUCCCAUCCAACCAUCCCAUCCUUUGUUGCCUAAUUCCAGCUCCACAAAGCAGUUUGAGAGGCUGGAAAUUCUGAGAUUGGGGUGCCAGCAUGGUUGGAGACUUCUGGUUGCAGACUUCUCAUUAUAUCCUCACCUGGUGGAGGAG